rnacentral:rRNA from 1 species
CCUACGGGGGGCAGCAGUGGGGAAUAUUGGACAAUGGGGGGAACCCUGAUCCAGCCAUGCCGCGUGUGUGAAGAAGGCCCUCGGGUUGUAAAGCACUUUCAGUGAGGAAGAACGCCUGGUGGUUAAUACCCAUCAGGAAAGACAUCACUCACAGAAGAAGCACCGGCUAACUCCGUGCCAGCAGCCGCGGUAAUACGGAGGGUGCGAGCGUUAAUCGGAAUUACUGGGCGUAAAGCGCGCGUAGGUGGCUUGAUAAGCCGGUUGUGAAAGCCCCGGGCUCAACCUGGGAACGGCAUCCGGAACUGUCAAGCUAGAGGGCAGGAGAGGAAGGUAGAAUUCCCGGUGUAGCGGGGAAAUGCGUAGAGAUCGGGAGGAAUACCAGUGGCGAAGGCGGCCUUCUGGACUGACACUGACACUGAGGUGCGAAAGCGUGGGUAGCAAACAGGAUUAGAUACCCGUGUAGUC